UACGUAGGGUGCAAGCGUUAAUCGGAAUUACUGGGCGUAAAGCGUGCGCAGGCGGCUAUGCAAGACAGAUGUGAAAUCCCCGGGCUCAACCUGGGAACUGCAUUUGUGACUGCAUGGCUAGAGUACGGUAGAGGGGGAUGGAAUUCCGCGUGUAGCAGUGAAAUGCGUAGAUAUGCGGAGGAACACCGAUGGCGAAGGCAGCCUCCUGGGCCAGCACUGACGCUCAUGCACGAAAGCGUGGGGAGCAAACAGG
rnacentral:rRNA from 1 species